AUACGGAGGGAGCGAGCGUUGUUCGGAAUCACAGGGCGUAAAGCGCGCGUAGGCGGCCGAGUAAGUCGUGUGUGAAAUGCCGGGGCUCAACCCCGUGCACUGCAUGCGAUACUGCUUGGCUCGAGAGAGGCAGGGGCGAGCGGAAUUCCCGGUGUAGCGGUGGAAUGCGUAGAUAUCGGGAAGAACACCAGUGGCGAAGGCGGCUCGCUGGACCUUUUCUGACGCUGAAGCGCGAAAGCGUGGGGAGCAAACAGGAUUAGAUACCCCAGUAGUCC
rnacentral:rRNA from 1 species